GACGAACCGUGCGAACGUUGUUCGGAAUCACUGGGCUUAAAGGGCGCGUAGGCGGCUUAUCAAGUCCGGGGUGAAAUCUUUCGGCUUAACCGGAAAAGUGCCUUGGAUACUGAUGAGCUUGAGUGAGAUAGGGGCAGCUGGAACUUCCAGUGGAGCGGUGAAAUGCGUUGAUAUUGGAAGGAACUCCGGUGGCGAAAGCGAGCUGCUGGAUCUCUUCUGACGCUGAGGCGCGAAAGCUAGGGGAGCGAACGGG
rnacentral:rRNA from 1 species